AGAACGCUACUGGGCGGCGACCAAAAUUCUUCCGUUCUCGCGUAUUCCCACCACUAAACCUGCGUGAGUGCUGGCCGCCACCGUCUGCACCACCAUCGCUCACCGACGGCUACUACCGCCGUUGUCAUAUUGUGUAUACAACGUGUAUUGUAUUGUUCUAUGUUUUUACAAUUAUACGUUUUUACAUAAAUAAGCCAAGUUUUCCAUUUUUGCUUGUUUUAGUGUUUACUAUUUUAGUAAAUACUUAGAUUACUAAAUACAACAUGGACCUCGUUGAGAUUUCUCCUUCCAAAAAAAAUUUUCGUGGAAAAGUAAGUGUUUGUAUGACUAUUUUUCUAUUGCGAAUUCUUAAUUUUUAAAUAAAUAUAUUAUUUUCUUUAGUUUGUUGGUACUGCUCAAAAGCAGAUCACUAUAAAUCUGUACAAAAACAAAGUCAGGCAACAACUUCAAAACUCAGACAGCCCCAAAUUGGCCUAUAGACGGAUGCUUCUCGACAUUUCUAAGUCAAGUGGUAUUGGACAACGUACCAUACAAACAACUUAAGUCGAAUAUAAAAAAGAAGGUACAGUUUCAUCUCCUAAUUAGAAAAAAAUGAGAUAUACAAUACUUCAAAAAGUGAGAUUAAGAUAAAAAUGCCAUUAGGCGUAAAAUACAUGGCUUUUAGUUGAAUUGUGAAGUGCCUACAGUUGUAAAAAUAUUAAUGACCAUAAAUGAAGACGAUACUUUACCAAACCUAUAACGUUCCUCAUUUCAAAAAUUGAUGAAAUAACUCCAAUUUGUUUAUGUCAAAAAAUAUCGUUGUAGUGCGCUUAUCGAAAGAGAACAAAUACAAUGUUGGCGCCGAAAAUAUUUGGAUCAAAUAAGACAAUAUUGAGCACAAAACCGACCGGUAUAUUACUUGGAUGAAGCGUGGGUCAACACAGGUGAAACACAUAAGAAAACAUGGGUCGACAGUACGGUAAAUUCACCACGUGACACAUUUUUUAGAGGCCUCACCACGGAACAAAAGGAACUCUCUGGUAUACAACUGAUUGUAUUACACAUCAGAUCGACUGACGGCUUUGUCCCUGGGGACCUUUUGUGCUUCGAAUCAAAAACAAAUCCUCGUAAACUAUCACGAAGAAAUGAAUGGUGAUACUUUUUUUCAAUGGAUCGUAAAAAUUUUGCCAUUACUUAAAGUAAAUGCCGUAAUUUUAAUGGACAAUGUUCCAAAUCAUUCGGUUAAGAAAGAUAGAAUUCCAGUAAUGUCUUGUAAAAAAGAAGAUAUUAUAAGUUGGUUGGAAAGUAAAGGUGAGAUUGUUAAUCAGCCAAUAAUAAAAGCGCUGUUAUUGAUAAAAGUCCAGACAAUGAAAUUCCGAUAUGAUAAAUAUGUCAUAGAUGCAUACGUAAACGAAACCAUAUUAAGAUUGCCUCCAUACCACUGCGAGUGUUCGGACACAUAACAACACAUUCAAGCUUAAAGACGUUGAAGAUAUAUUAAAAAGAGGGUUGGAACACGUAAUACCGGAAAUGUGGGCGAAUUUUGUGGGACAUGUCAUAAAGGAAGAACAGAAAUGUUGGGAUGUCAACAACAUAACUGACGAAAUUAUGGACUUAAUGAAGGAGAACGUCAUAUUCUAACAAUGGGAACAGGUUCAACAACAGAAUCGGAUUCAAACUGAAAUUUUGUUUGUAUUUUUAUUAAUUUUUUUUUUUUCGGUAUUAUUUAAGCAAAUGUAUGUAUGAAUGAAUAAAUAAAUGCAUACAAAUAAAAUUUGCAUAC
rnacentral:lncRNA from 1 species